CCUCCUUAAACGCAAAGCCACCCGGCAAGCGCUCACAACGAAUUACUUGAUUAAAGAAUGAGAGCUGACGCAAGUCAGCCCUCAUUGUUAAAGGCUGUCUGGCGUAUGCUGGGCCUGCUCUUUAAAAAAAUGGAUUUGUGAUAUCGAUUGAUGGAUUGGCCCCGAGCCAUGAAGUUAAUCAGCGUUUAAACACAUCGUCACCAGCGGUUGUGUUUAAACAAAACGUUGCAACGUCUUCUAGCGAUCACGUUGUAACAAAGUUUAGGUAAUACACAGUUAAUUAUUCAAUUUCUAAUUAACUGAUAUGUGUUUUAUCGAGCGACUUAUCCGAAGGCCCUAGCGAUAGGGUUUAUCGUAAACUUGAUUGAAGGUAAUUUGUCAGAAUUACUGCGACCCUUUUGGGUUAUAUGGUCAAGUGAAUAAGCGUGCACGGUGGAUGCCUAGGCAGUCAGAGGCGAUGAAGGACGUGGUAACCUGCGAAAAGCUUGGGGAAGGUGGUAAACAACCUAUGAUCCAGAAAUUUCCGAAUGGGGAACCAAGGGCG
rnacentral:misc_RNA from 1 species